rnacentral:rRNA from 1 species
UACGUAGGGUGCUAGCGUUGUCCGGAUUUAUUGGGCGUAAAGAGCGUGUAGGCGGCCAGGUAGGUCCGUUGUGAAAACUCGAGGCUCAACCUCGAGACGUCGGCGGAAACCCUCUGGCUAGAGUCCGGAAGAGGAGAGUGGAAUUCCUGGUGUAGCGGUGAAAUGCGCAGAUAUCAGGAAGAACACCCGUGGCGAAGGCGGCUCCCUGGGACGGUACUGACGCUGAGACGCGAAAGCGUGGGGAGCAAACAGG